CGCAUCUGUGCAUGCAGCAUAUCAAUAAGCGGAGGAAAAGCGCAUUAAAGAUCCAGAUACCUACGCUUAGGAUGUUGACGAGACUGUCGAUCUCAUCUAUACAUGACUCUGUGCAUAUCAAUAAGCGGAGGAAAAGGGCAUAGGAAGACCUAGUACCUACGCUUAGGAUGUUGACGAGACUGUCGAUCUCAUCUAUACAUGACUCUGUGCAUAUCAAUAAGCGGAGGAAAAGAAACUAACAAGGAUUCCCCUAGUAACGGCGAGUGAAGCGGGAAGAGCUCAAAUUUGAAAUCUUAAAGGGUUUCCCUUUACGAAUUGUAGUUUUAAGAAGUGUUUUCUGUUGAGGUUUUGGUAAAAGUUCUUUGGAAUAGGACAUCAUAGAGGGUGAGAAUCCCGUAUUUGACCCUUACUUUCAACUUUGUGAUACACUUUCAAAGAGUCGGAUUGUUUGGGAAUGCAGUCCAAUAUGGGUGGUAAAUUUCAUCUAAAGCUAAAUAUUGGCGAGAGACCGAUAGCGAACAAGUACCGUGAGGGAAAGAUGAAAAGAACUUUGAAAAGAGAGUUAAACAGUACGUGAAAUUGUCAAAAGGGAAGCGUUUGACACCAGUGUUGUUUUUCUGAAAAUCAAUUAAAGAACUGUUUAUGCUAAGUUGUUUAGACUUUAUCAGCUAACUGUUUAGUUUUGAGCUUUUCUUUAAUGCACUUUUCAGUUAACAAGUCAACAUCAAUUUCUUUUGCUGUAAAAAAGCUUGAGGAAGGUGGCUUGAGAUUCGUCUUAAGUGUUUAUAGCCUCUUGCCUAUGCAGUCGGAGAGAUUGAGGUCUGCAGCGUAGAUCCUUCGGGGCUAAAUGCAUUUGUGCUAAGUUAUAGCAUUUUAUAGACAACUUGUUGACUAUGAUUUGUCUUGUAGCUUACUCGCUUAUGUUAUUUUAUCUACGCUUAGGAUGUUGACGAGACUGUCGAUCUC
rnacentral:rRNA from 1 species